rnacentral:rRNA from 1 species
AAUGGCCUAACGGCUGAACCAGCAACUUGUGUGAAGGUAAAAGCAUUUUGUUUAAACAAAAUGUAGUUUUUUUGUCAUAGUUAUGACUGCUAUCUUUAAUAAAACCAAAAGUUUUAUGGAUAGUAAUUAAGUUAAAGGAUAGAGGGGAUUUAUCUUCGCCUUGCGGGGCCCUUGGCCGAUUUAACUUAAUUUUUUGAAAGCUUCGGCUAUAAGCGAUUUAUUCGCAUAAGUUUCCAUGCAGAAUACAGAUGAUGACUAUUUUCUGCAUGAUAGUCUUGGCCAAAACACGUGCCAGCAGCAGCGGCAACACGGGAUUAGACGAGUGUUAUUCAUCUUUAAUAGGUUUAAAGGGUACCUAGACGGCAAAUUUAUCCCCCACAGGGUUGGAUUGGAACAAUUUUGCUAGAGUUUUAUGUGAGAGGGAUUUAGUACUAACAGAGUAGAGAUAAAAUUUUUUGAUACUGUAGGGCACUGAUAACGGCGAAGGCAGACCUUUAUGUAAAAACUGACGUUGAGGGACGAAGGCUUGGGUAACAAACAGGAUUAGAUACCCUAAUAGUCCAGGCAGAGACUGAUGAGUGUCAUAGAUUAGAUUAUAUUUGGUCUAUAAAUGAAAGUGUAAGCACUCCACCUUAAGAGUAAUGCGGCAACGUAGGAACUGAAAUCAUUAGACCGUUUCUGAUACCAGUAGUGAAGUAUGUUGUUCAAUUCGAUGAUCCGCGAAAAAUCUUACCACAAUUUGAAUAUUAUAGCAACUAUAGGAAAGUCCUUUAAUUAUAUUGUUAAUGUGAUGUAAGUGCUAUUAAUACAGGUGUUGCAUGGCUGUUUUUAGUUGGUGUCGUGAGAUGUAGGUUAACUCCUAUGUAAUCAACGUGAACCCUCGCCUUAUUUUAUGAAUAUAUACAUAGGGUUGAUGUCUGAUCCGUCGGAUAAAUAAUAGGGAUCAAUACAAGUCCUCAUGGCCCGAACAUUGUGGGCUAUAGACGUGCCACAUAAACCUUGACAAAGGGAUGCUAAAAUGUGAAUAUUAAGCUAAUCUCUAAAAAUUGGUUAAAAAAA